AGUGAACGCUGGCGGUAGGCCUAACACAUGCAAGUCGAACGGCAGCACAGGAGAGCUUGCUCUCUGGGUGGCGAGUGGCGGACGGGUGAGGAAUACAUCGGAAUCUACUCUGUCGUGGGGGAUAACGUAGGGAAACUUACGCUAAUACCGCAUACGACCUACGGGUGAAAGCAGGGGAUCUUCGGACCUUGCGCGAUUGAAUGAGCCGAUGUCGGAUUAGCUAGUUGGCGGGGGAAAGGCCCACCAAGGCGACGAUCCGUAGCUGGUCUGAGAGGAUGAUCAGCCACACUGGAACUGAGACACGGUCCAGACUCCUACGGGAGGCAGCAGUGGGGAAAAUUGGACAAUGGGCGCAAGCCUGAUCCAGCCAUACCGCGUGGGUGAAGAAGGCCUUCGGGUUGUAAAGCCCUUUUGUUGGGAAAGAAAUCCAGCUGGCUAAUACCCGGUUGGGAUGACGGUACCCAAAGAAUAAGCACCGGCUAACUUCGUGCCAGCAGCCGCCGCCG
rnacentral:rRNA from 1 species